rnacentral:rRNA from 1 species
AUGCGGACGGCCAUUCGGGACUAUCACAACCUCCGCGCGGCUACCUUCAACUCCCAGGCCCGGGAGCUGACCCAGAAGACCAUUGAUCUGACCGAGAGCCGGAAGGCCAAUGCCGACCUGAGGGAGCAGUUGGGUGGGGCCCAGACCGCCCUUCGCGCCAAGGAAGCCGAGUGCAACGCCUUGGCUCAGGAGCGUGACCGCUUGGUCAAGAAGCUGGCCGACCAGGAGGAGAGCCAUAAGGCGGCCCUGAAGGCGGCGCAGGAAAGCGAGGCCGCCCUCCAAGCCAAAUACGAGACCGAGGCGGCGAGCUGGGCUAAGGCAAGGCAAGCGCUGAGCGACGGCUACGGCCAGAUCGAAGAUUUGGUUGACGAGUACUUCCCUGGUUACUCCGUUGCUGCCUACCAAGUCAUCGAGGCCCGCCGCGACGCGCAAAGGCAGGCUGGGGCUGAGAUCGCGCCGGAUGCUCGCCGGUCGCUUGAGGAGCAGCUUCUGGUGAUCCGAGCCCGCCUCCAGUUGGCUCACCGCAUGCUCCGCCAUCUUCAGCGCGUUGGGGCGCAGGUGCUGCCGCCCUCUGGCCCGGCGAGGUGGUUCCCCGUACCCCCAGUCGGACUGCCGACUGGCUGGAGGUAG